rnacentral:rRNA from 1 species
CCCUUAGAUGUUCUGGGCCGCACACGCGCUACACUGAAGGAGGCAGCGUGUACUCCUGGAUCGAAAGAUUUGGGUAACCCGCGAAUCUCCUUCGUGCUAGGGAUUGAGGUUUGCAAUUAUCCUUCAUGAACGAGGAAUUCCCAGUAAGUGCAAGUCAUAAGCUUGCGCUGACUGCGUCCCUGCCCUUUGUACACACCGCCCGUCGCUACUACCGAUUGAAUGAUUUAGUGAGGACUUCGGACUGGGACCGAUGCGGCUUUCGGGCUGCGUCGGUAUUCUGGAAAGAUGUCCAAACUGUAUCAUUUAGAGGAAGUAAAAGUCGUANCA